GGAGUCGGCCAGGCAAUCGCUCCGUUUCAGGCUUCGGCUUGUUGUGGGGAGGAAAGUCCGGGCUCCACAGGGCAGGGUGCCAGGUAAUACCUGGGGGGCGCGAGCCUACGGAAAGUGCAACAGAAAGGAUACCGCCGGUGCAGGUUUCGUCCUGGCCGGUAAGGGUGAAAUGGUGCGGUAAGAGCGCACCGCGCAGGUGGCAACACGCUGCGGCUAGGUAAACCCCGCCCGGAGCAAGACCAAAUAGGAAAGCGAUGCCGUUGCCCGCGGCGCUUUCGGGUAGGUUGCUCGAGGCCGCCGGUGACGGCGGUCCCAGAUGAAUGAUUGCCCUCGACAAAACCCGGCUUAUCGGCCGGCUCCCACU
rnacentral:RNase_P_RNA from 1 species